UACGGGGGGGGCAAGCGUUGUUCGGAAUUACUGGGCGUAAAGGGCUCGUAGGUGGCCAACUAAGUCGGACGUGAAAUCCCUCAGCUUAACUGGGGAACUGCGUCCGAUACUGGAUGGCUUGAGUUUGGGAGAGGGAUGCGGAAUUCCAGGUGUAGCGGUGAAAUGCGUAGAUAUCUGGAGGAACACCGGUGGCGAAGGCGGCAUCCUGGACCAUUACUGACGCUGAGGAGCGAAAGCCAGGGGAGCAAACGGG
rnacentral:rRNA from 1 species